ensembl:lncRNA
AUGACCAGAAAAAUUGGGUGCCAGACUGAACCAGUCAGCUCCAUGUAUGCAGGAGUGCAGGCUAACAUGAAGCCCAUGAGGAGAAGCAAAGCCACCCAGUCCAGAGUGCCUAACGGCACGUGUGACACAGGCACACCAAUGGAGCCUUUCACAGAGUGUCCCGGGGCAACAUCUACACCAGUAAAGAGGAAAAGAUGUGAGGUGUCCACUGAUGACCCCAGCUACCAUCAAGAUGGAAGUGAGAGCUCCAUGAACUGUACAAGAGUCUCCAAUGAAGUAUUACACCACAAAGUGACUAAGUAUAUUGUUUAUGAAGAUAAACUGCUGGAGCUUUUUAGAAGAUGCCCUGUCUGCACCCGGAGUGUGGUUGUUUCACAAACAAUCAUUGGGACACUUCUCCGUGUCAAACAGCACUGUGCUUACUGUGAGUACUCCAGUGAUUGGUCGAGGCUGAUUCACCUGGUAAUAAAUAACUCAUUAAUUAUAUAUAUAUAUAUAUAUAUAUAUAUAUAUAUAUAUAUAUAAAAUGUAUAUAUAAUAUGAAACUGCUGUCAGGCUUUGUGCAAAUAACACAAUUGUAGGACAUUGAGCAAAAUAUGGCAGCUACACCAUGAUGGAUCUCAAAGCCAAUAGGGUCAUAGACAUCCAACUAGUCCAGGUAAACAACUACACAAUAAAAACAUUUUGUUAUGUGAAUUACUAUAUACU